UGGGCGUUAAGUUGCAGGGUAUAGACCCGAAACCCGGUGAUCUAGCCAUGGGCAGGUUGAAGGUUGGGUAACACUAACUGGAGGACCGAACCGACUAAUGUUGAAAAAUUAGCGGAUGACUUGUGGCUGGGGGUGAAAGGCCAAUCAAACCGGGAGAUAGCUGGUUCUCCCCGAAAGCUAUUUAGGUAGCGCCUCGUGAAUUCAUCUCCGGGGGUAGAGCACUGUUUCGGCAAGGGGGUCAUCCCGACUUACCAACCCGAUGCAAACUGCGAAUACCGGAGAAUGUUAUCACGGGAGACACACGGCGGGUGCUAACGUCCGUCGUGAAGAGGGAAACAACCCAGACCGCCAGCUAAGGUCCCAAAGUCAUGGUUAAGUGGGAAACGAUGUGGGAAGGCCCAGACAGCCAGGAUGUUGGCUUAGAAGCAGCCAUCAUUUAAAGAAAGCGUAAUAGCUCACUGGUCGAGUCGGCCUGCGCGGAAGAUGUAACGGGGCUAAACCAUGCACC
rnacentral:rRNA from 1 species